GAGGUGUACCAGGUCGUCGCGCGAACCGACUCAGUCGGGAGUGAGGAAAGUCCGGACACCCCAGGACAGGGAACCGGGUAACACCCGGGCGAUCGUCUCAGACGAUCGACGGAAAGUGCAACAGAAAGUAUACCGCCCUCUUCGGAGGGUAAGGGUGAAAAGGCGAGGUAAGAGCUCACCGCGCAUCCGGUAACGAAUGCGGCAUGGCAAACCCUUCCCGGUGCAAUCUCAUGUAGGUGACCUUUGGGCCGGUCCGGUCCGGUCACGGGUAGAGAGCAAAGAGCACGGGAGCAAUCCCGUCGCCAGGAUAAAUGACGGCCCUCGACAGAAUCCGGCUUAUCGGUGCGCCUCUCCC
rnacentral:RNase_P_RNA from 2 species